rnacentral:lncRNA from 1 species
CAGGGUUUAGGGUUAGAAAGGGUUUAGGGUUAGGUAGGGUUUAGGGUUAGGUAGGGUUUAGGGUUAGGUAGGGUUUAGGGUUAUGUAGGGUUUAGGGUUAGUAGGGUUUAGGUUUAGGCAGGGUUUAGGGUUAGCAGGGUUUACGUUUAGGGUUAGGUAGGGUUUAGGGUUAGAAAGGGUUUAGGGUUAGGUAGGAUUUAGGGUUAGGCAGGGUUUAGGGUUAGGUAGGGUUUAGGGUUAGAAAGGGUUUAGGUUUAGUAGGGUUUAGGGUUAGUAGGGUUUUGGGCUACUAGGAUUUAGGGUUAUAAAGGGUUUAGGGUUAGGUAGGGUUUAGGGUUAGAAAGGGUUUAGGGUUAUAAAGGGUUUAGGGUUAGGUAGGGUUUAGGGUUAGAAAAGGUUUAGGGUUAGUAGGGUUUAGGGUUAGGUAGGGAUUUGAAUUAGGUAGGGUUUAGGGUUAGGUAGGGUUUAGGGUUAGUAGGGUUUAGGGUUAGUAGGGUUUAGGGUUAGGUAAGGUUUAGGGCUAGAAAGGGUUUAGGGUUAGAAAGGUUUUAGGGUUAGGUAGGGUUUAGGUUAGGUAGGGUUUGGAGUUAGUAGGGUAUAGGGUUAGGUAGGGUUUAGGGUUAGAAAGGGUUUAGGGUUAUGUAGGGUUUAGGGUUAGUAGGGUUUAGGGUUAGGUAGAGUUUAGGGUUAGGUAGGGUUUACGUUUAGGUUUAGGUAGGGUUUACGGUUAGAUAGGUUUAGGGUUUAGGUAGUAGGAAGGGAUUAGGGUUAGGUUUAUGUAGGGUUUAGGGUUAGAUAGGGUUAAGGUCUAGGUUUAGGGUUAGAUAGGAUUUAGGGUUUAGGUAAUAGGAAAGUUUUAGCGUUUAGUUUAGAUUGGAUUUAGUGUUUGGUUUAGAAUAAUGCUUAGGAUUAUAGGGUUUAGGAUUUGUUUGUUUUUUUGUUUAUGCAUUUAGUGCUGAAUUUUUUGGAUAAAAAAUUAUAUUAAAAUUAUUGAUUUAAAUUUUUCUUAAAAUGUUA